UACAGAGGGUGCAAGCGUUGUUCGGAAUUAUUGGGCGUAAAGGGCGCGUAGGCGGUGCUGUAAGUCUGUAGUGAAAUCUCUGGGCUCAACUCAGAGUCUGCUAUAGAAACUGCAGUGCUGGAGUGUGGGAGAGGUGAGUGGAAUUCCCGGUGUAGCGGUGAAAUGCGUAGAUAUCGGGGAGGAACACCUGUGGCGAAAGCGGCUCACUGGACCACAACUGACGCUGAGGCGCGAAAAGCUAGGGGAGCAAACAGGG
rnacentral:rRNA from 1 species